CGGACGGGUGAGUAAUGUCUGGGAAACUGCCUGAUGGAGGGGGAUAACUACUGGAAACGGUAGCUAAUACCGCAUAACGUCGCAAGACCAAAGAGGGGGACCUUCGGGCCUCUUGCCAUCGGAUGUGCCCAGAUGGGAUUAGCUAGUAGGUGGGGUAACGGCUCACCUAGGCGACGAUCCCUAGCUGGUCUGAGAGGGUGGCCAGCCACACUGGAACUGAGACACGGUCCAG
rnacentral:rRNA from 1 species